rnacentral:sRNA from 1 species
GCUUAGCCCCGAUAGAGCCGAUAUCCUUUUGUGGCGGUGUUCGACACAAAAGAUAAAGGUGAAAGCGGGACUAAUG